rnacentral:rRNA from 1 species
CAGCGACGCUGAUGCGUUGUUGGGUAGGGGAGCGUUCUGUAAGCCUGUGAAGGUGUGCUGUGAGGCAUGCUGGAGGUAUCAGAAGUGCGAAUGCUGACAUAAGUAACGAUAAAGCGGGUGAAAAGCCCGCUCGCCGGAAGACCAAGGGUUCCUGUCCAACGUUAAUCGGGGCAGGGUGAGUCGACCCCUAAGGCGAGGCCGAAAGGCGUAGUCGAUGGGAAACAGGUUAAUAUUCCUGUACUUGGUGUUACUGCGAAGGGGGGACGGAGAAGGCUAUGUUGGCCGGGCGACGGUUGUCCCGGUUUAAGCGUGUAGGCUGGUUUUCCAGGCAAAUCCGGAAAAUCAAGGCUGAGGCGUGAUGACGAGGCACUACGGUGCUGAAGCAACAAAUGCCCUGCUUCCAGGAAAAGCCUCUAAGCAUCAGGUAACAUCAAAUCGUACCCCAAACCGACACAGGUGGUCAGGUAGAGAAUACCAAGGCGCUUGAGAGAACUCGGGUGAAGGAACUAGGCAAAAUGGUGCCGUAACUUCGGGAGAAGGCACGC